rnacentral:rRNA from 1 species
CAGUAGCCGCGGUAAUACGUAGGGUGCAAGCGUUAAUCGGAAUUACUGGGCGUAAAGCGUGCGCAGGCGGUGUUGUAAGACUGAUGUGAAAUCCCCGGGCUCAACCUGGGAACUGCAUUGGUGACUGCAACGCUGGAGUGCGGCAGAGGGGGAUGGAAUUCCGCGUGUAGCAGUGAAAUGCGUAGAUAUGCGGAGGAACACCGAUGACGAAGGCAAUCCCCUGGGCCUGCACUGACGCUCAUGCACGAAAGCGUGGGGAGCAAACAGGAUUAGAUACCCCCGUAGUCCCUGUCUCUUAUAC